rnacentral:lncRNA from 1 species
UACUAAAUGGCCAUAAAAAAGAACGAGAUCAUGUCUUUUGCAGGAACGUGGAUGGAGCUGGUGGCCAUUAUUCUUAGUAAACUCAUGCAGGAACAAAACCAGAUACUGCAUGUUCCCACUUACAGGAACGUAGAUGGAGCUGGUGGCCAUUAUUCUUAGUAAACUCAUGCAGGAACAGAAAACCAAAUACUGCACGUUCCCACUUACAGGGACCAGGUGGAGAUAAUUGAAUCAUGGGGGCAGUUUCCUACAUGCUGUUCUUGUGAUGGUAAGUAAAUUGUCACGAGAUCAUGAUGGUUUUAUAAGGGGCUUCCCCCUUCGCUUGGCUCUCAUUCUUCUCUCUCCUGCUGCCU